rnacentral:rRNA from 1 species
GAUUCUUCGGAUGAAGAUCCUGGUGACUGAGUGGCGGACGGGUGAGUAACGCGUGGGUAACCUGCCUCAUACAGGGGGAUAACAGUUAGAAAUGACUGCUAAUACCGCAUAAGACCACAGCACCGCAUGGUGCAGGGGUAAAAACUCCGGUGGUAUGAGAUGGACCCGCGUCUGAUUAGGUAGUUGGUGAGGUAACGGCCCACCAAGCCGACGAUCAGUAGCCGACCUGAGGGGGUGACCGGCCACAUUGGGACUGAGACACGGCCCAGACUCCUACGGGAGGCAGCAGUGGGGAAUAUUGCACAAUGGGCGAAAGCCUGAUGCAGCGACGCCGCGUGAAGGAUGAAGUAUUUCGGUAUGUAAACUUCUAUCAGCAGGGAAGAAAAUGACGGUACCUGACUAAGAAGCCCCGGCUAACUACGUGCCAGCAGCCGCGGUAAUACGUAGGGGGCAAGCGUUAUCCGGAUUUACUGGGUGUAAAGGGAGCGUAGACGGCUGUGCAAGUCUGAAGUGAAAGGCAUGGGCUCAACCUGUGGACUGCUUUGGAAACUGUGCAGCUAGAGUGUCGGAGAGGUAAGUGGAAUUCCUAGUGUAGCGGUGAAAUGCGUAGAUAUUAGGAGGAACACCAGU